rnacentral:rRNA from 1 species
GUAGCUGGUCUAAGAGGAUGAACAGCCACAAUGGGAUUGAUAUACGGCCCAUAUUCCUACGGGAAGCAGCAGUAGGGAAUCUUCCACAAUGGGCGAAAGCCUGAUGGAGCAAUGCCAUCGUGAAUGAUGAAGGCCAGACAGGUCGUAAAGUUCUUUUAGAGGGGAAAAAUUUGAUGGUACCCUCUGAAUAAGUGACAGCAAACUAUGUGCCAGCAGCUGCGGUAAUACAUAGGUCGCGAGCGUUAUUCGGAUUUAUUGGGCGUAAAGCAAGCG